rnacentral:rRNA from 11 species
GUGAGAAUCCAAUGCCCCGAAACCCUAAGGGUUCCUCCGGCAGGUUCGUCCGCGGAGGGUUAGUCAGGACCUAAGGCGAGGCCAAACGGCGUAGUCGAUGGACAACGGGUGAUUAAUCCCGUACUGAUUUUGGUUUGUGCAGAGGGACGGAGAAGGCGAACACUAGCCAGAAGUUGGUUACUGGUGCAAGCGUUCGAGGCGAUGAGAAGCGGCGAAAACGCUUUGAGCUAAGGCGCGAGUCCGAGUGUCUACGGACGCGAAGUAGUGGAGUCAAGCUUCCCAGAAAAGCUCGGUGGCACGUUAAGCCAAAAUUACCUGUACCCGAAACCGACACAGGUAGGGAGGUUGAGAAUACCAAGGGGCGCGAGAUAACU